rnacentral:rRNA from 1 species
UACAGAGGUCUCAAGCGUUGUUCGGAUUCAUUGGGCGUAAAGGGUGCGUAGGCGGCGCGGUAAGUCGGGUGUGAAAUUUCGAGGCUUAACUUCGAAACUGCAUUCGAUACUGCCGUGCUUGAGGACUGGAGAGGAGACUGGAAUUUACGGUGUAGCGGUGAAAUGCGUAGAUAUCGUAAGGAAGACCAGUGGCGAAGGCGGGUCUCUGGACAGUUCCUGACGCUGGAGGCACGAAGGCCAGGGGAGCAAACGGGG